rnacentral:rRNA from 1 species
UACGUAGGGUGCGAGCGUUGUCCGGAAUUAUUGGGCGUAAAGGGCUCGUAGGCGGUUUGUUGCGUCGGGAGUGAAAACUCAGGGCUUAACCCUGAGCCUGCUUCCGAUACGGGCAGACUAGAGGUAUGCAGGGGAGAACGGAAUUCCUGGUGUAGCGGUGAAAUGCGCAGAUAUCAGGAGGAACACCGGUGGCGAAGGCGGUUCUCUGGGCAUUACCUGACGCUGAGGAGCGAAAGUGUGGGGAGCGAACAGGAUUAGAAACCCGUAGUAGU